GGGCGCAUGGUCUAGGGGUAUGAUUUUCGCUUCGCAUUAGCAUCUGUGAAAGGUCGUGGGUUCAAUUCCCACUGCGUCCA